rnacentral:tRNA from 2 species
GCGGUUGUAGCUCAGUUGGUUAGAGCGCUAGAUUGUGGCUCUAGAGGCCGGUGGUUCAAUUCCUCCCAACCGUACCA